rnacentral:rRNA from 1 species
CCGUUCCGGACACGCCGCGUGAGGGAGAGGCCUCUGGGCUGUAAACCUCUUUUCUCAAGGAAGAAGAUCUGACGGUACUUGAGGAAUAAGCCACGGCUAAUUCCGUGCCAGCAGCCGCGGUAAUACGGGAGUGGCAAGCGUUAUCCGGAAUUAUUGGGCGUAAAGCGUCCGCAGGCGGCCCUUCAAGUCUGCUGUUAAAAAGUGGAGCUUAACUCCAUCGUGGCAGUGGAAACUGUUGGGCUAGAGUGUGGUAGGAGCAGAGGGAAUUCCCGGUAUAGCGGUGAAAUGCGUAGAUAUCGGGAAGAACACCAGUGGCGAAGGCGCUCUGCUGGGCCAUAACUGACGCUCAUGGACGAAAGCCAGGGGAGCGAAAGGGAUUAGAUACCCCUGUAGUCAUCG